rnacentral:rRNA from 1 species
GAUCAUGGCUCAGGAUGAACGCUGGCGGCGUGCCUAACACAUGCAAGUCGAGCGAAGCACUUUGCUUAGAUUCUUCGGAUGAAGAGGAUUGUGACUGAGCGGCGGACGGGUGAGUAACGCGUGGGUAACCUGCCUCAUACAGGGGGAUAACAGUUAGAAAUGACUGCUAAUACCGCAUAAGACCACAGCACCGCAUGGUGCGGGGGUAAAAACUCCGGUUGU